UGGCCAUAAGACAUGGAGCUUUUACUGUUCUAUGUAACUCAAGGAUAUCUAAUAAGCUGCUCAUCUAUUUCAUUCCUAGGGCAACUCUGAUCAAAGGUCCCUGCAAGUGAAAACAUCCUGGUGAUCACUUCAUCCUGCAGAGAAAGCAUCUACCUUGACGCUGGCAGCUCAGCCCUGCCGCUUGCCCUCUACUCCUUCAGGAACCCAUCACCCCUAAUGAAAUCAGGGAGCCACCUCAGCACUGCCUCUCCCGGUAUACCCAAACUGCAGAGGACAUCCACCAUAAAAUUUCUCAAGGAUCCUGGUGUUCUCACUUGUGCUUAUCUCAACAGCAAGGAGAGACAUUAACCAGAGAAAUGCUGACAUCUCAACCUCAGUGUAUACGGGUCAUGUUGAACACCGGUUUCCGUCAAUUCAACAAGCAAUAUUCAAGUUACUUUCAGCUGUGAGAGAUCUACUAAAUUAGAUUCUCUGAGGGCAGAGGUCUGGCAUCUGUUUCAUUAGCAAGCUCCACAGAUCAGAAUCUGAGGUGUGAGAGAGAGCAGCUUGCUUCAGACCAAGAGUGAGUUGGACCAGAACUCUAGUGUCUUGACUCCUUAUGAGAACUUCUGCUCUUUCAAGCCAGCUUUACAGUGAACCUGGAGGCAUUUGUUCAGCAUUCUCCAGAAAUUCGUGCAGAGACGGGUUGCAAUGAUAAGCCAAAAAACGCUGCACAUGUCCAAUGCUACAAGCCCUGUGAUAAAGGUGACCCUAGUUUUGGAGAGCAUGAUGUGUUUCUUUCCAGUUUAUUUUGGUUGUGACUGAAAAACCAACCCAGCAGGGGUUAAGCCAAAAGGAAAGGUAUUGGCUUCCCCAACUAUAAGAACCGCUACAGGUUUGCUUCAGACAUGACCAGAUACAGAAGCUUCACUCCUCAAGGUCGGGUUUUCACUGUCUCUGACUCUUAAAGCUGCUCUCUCUCUGCUGACUCAGUCUUCAGGCAGGCUAGACCCUCUGGGCUCUGUCUGCUUAGAUUCCUGCACAGCAGGGGAGAUAGAGAUUUGUCUCUGCAGUCUCAGCAAAAGUCCCCUUGGCUGUAAGUGAGUUAUAUGCCCAUCUUUAAAUGAAGUGCUGGGGCCAGAGAAACGCGAUAGGCUUUUUGACCCAAGCCUAGGUCAAGUGCCCCACUCUGAGUCAAGUUACACCACUCUGAGAGCACAGGUGGCCAAGGUCAGGGCAGGAUGAGAGCAAUUGCUGAAUGGCAAAAGCCUCCGAUGUUCACAGUGCUAGGAACCAUGGAGAAGUUGACAAUCACUGUGAAGGAGGUGACGAUUUUAAUCUAGGGGUAAGGGGCACCUGGGUGGCUCAGUGGUUAAAUGUCU